rnacentral:rRNA from 1 species
GACGAACGCUGGCGGCGUGCCUAAUACAUGCAAGUCGAGCGAAGCUUUUCUGGUGCUUGCACCGGAAAAACUUAGCGGAAAACGGGUGAGUAACACGUAAAGAACCUGCCUCAUAGACUGGGACAACUAUUGGAAACGAUAGCUAAUACCGGAUAAUAGCAUUAACUGCAUGGUUGUUGUUUAAAAGUUGUUUUUGCUAACACUAUGAGAUGGCUUUGCGGUGCAUUAGCUAGUUGGUGGGGUAAAGGCCUACCAAGGCGACGAUGCAUAUCCGAUCUGAGAGGGUGAUCGGCCACACUGGAACUGAGACACGGCCCAGACUCCUACGGGAGGCAGCAGUAGGGAAUCUUCCGCAAUAGGCGAAAGCCUGACGGAGCAACGCCGCGUGAGUGAAGAAGGAUUUCGGUUCGUAAAGCUCUGUUGUUAGGGAAGAAUGAGUGUGUAGUUACUAAACACAGUAGAGACGGUACCUAACCAGAAAGCCACGGCUAACUACGUG